UACGUAGGGUGCGAGCGUAAUCGGAAUUACUGGGCGUAAAGCGUGCGCAGGCGGUUCGUUGUGUCGGCGGUGAAAGCCCCGGGCUCAACCUGGGAAUGGCCGUUGAAACUGGCGAACUGGAGUGUGGCAGAGGGGGGUGGAAUUCCGCGUGUAGCAGUGAGAUGCGUAGAGAUGCGGAGGAACACCGAUGGCGAAGGCAGCCCCCCUGGGCUGACACUGACGCUCAGGCACGAAAGCGUGGGGAGCAAACAGG
rnacentral:rRNA from 1 species